UACGUAGGGUGCGAGCGUUAAUCGGAAUUACUGGGCGUAAAGCGUGCGCAGGCGGUUUCGUAAGCUGGAGGUGAAAUCCCCGGGCUUAACCUGGGAAUGGCCUUCAGGACUGCGAGGCUAGAGUGCGGCAGAGGGAGGUGGAAUUCCACGUGUAGCAGUGAAAUGCGUAGAUAUGUGGAGGAACACCGAUGGCGAAGGCAGCCUCCUGGGCCAGCACUGACGCUCAUGCACGAAAGCGUGGGGAGCAAACAGG
rnacentral:rRNA from 1 species